rnacentral:rRNA from 1 species
GCUUACGACCACACCGGCCUGAGUACGCCUGAUCUCGUUUGAUCUCGGAAGCUAAGCAGGGUCAGGCCUGGUUAGUACUUGGAUGGGAGGACCGCCUGGGAAUACCAGGUGCUGUAAGAU